rnacentral:rRNA from 1 species
GACGAACGCUGGCGGCGUGCCUAACACAUGCAAGUCGAGCGGGGCUUAGUUUGAGUAGUUCUUUGGAGCUGCCCAUAAUAAGCCUAGCGGCGGACGGGUGAGUAACACGUGGGCAACCUACCCUUAAGACCGGGAUAACAGCUUGAAAGGGUUGCUAAUACCGGAUAAAGUUAACUUAGCGCAUGUUGAGUUAACCAAAGGGGUUUAACUGCUUAAGGAUGGGCCCGCGUUCCAUUAGCUAGUUGGUGGGGUAACGGCCUACCAAGGCUGCGAUGGAUAGCCGGUCUGAGAGGAUGUACGGCCACACUGGGACUGAGACACGGCCCAGACUCCUACGGGAGGCAGCAGUGGGGAAUCUUGCGCAAUGGGGGAAACCCUGACGCAGCGACGCCGUGUGAGCGAUGAAGGCCUUCGGGUUGUAAAGCUCUGUCAGCGGGGACGAAGGAGAUGACGGUACCUGCAGAGGAAGCCCCGGCUAACUACGUG